rnacentral:lncRNA from 1 species
CUUUGAUACACUCCACGAUGGUCAUGGACUUUCCCUCUAAAACAUGAUGCCCAGCCCAGCCCACAGGACACCUCCCCGCUCCAAGCCCUGUUCCUUACAUGCUGUCAUUGCUGAACACGGCUAGCCUCUGGGACUCCUGAGGAGAAGAAAAUAUGCAAGGAAGAACAGGUUUGAGCUCAAGGUGUUAAAUCUCUGGAUCUG